AAAUUGAAGAGUUUGAUCAUGGCUCAGAUUGAACGCUGGCGGCAGGCCUAACACAUGCAAGUCGAACGGUAACAGGAAACAGCUUGCUGUUUCGCUGACGAGUGGCGGACGGGUGAGUAAUGUCUGGGAAACUGCCUGAUGGAGGGGGAUAACUACUGGAAACGGUAGCUAAUACCGCAUAAUGUCGCAAGACUAAAGAGGGGGACCUUCGGGCCUCUUGCCAUCGGAUGUGCCCAGAUGGGAUUAGCUAGUAGGUGGGGUAACGGCUCA
rnacentral:rRNA from 1 species